rnacentral:rRNA from 1 species
CUUAAUCGAAUUUUUAAAAUAAUAUUUUAUCACCGAAAGUUCUUGAUUUUAUUUAUAGUCGAAAUUUUGUUCUAAUCCUUGUCAGGUAGAUUAGUAUAAACUGUAUUUACGUUGUGAAAAAUUAUUCGGUGGGACUUAUAUCUGUUUUAUGACUCAUUUUAUUUAAUUAAUUUUUUGGCUAAGAGGUCAAAAAGUAUAAAAUAUCUUUAUUAUUAUUUAUCAGGAAAGGGUUAAAAUUACCCAGUCUUUAUAAUUGUGUUACAACUUUUUAUAUAGAGUGUUUUUAGAUUUUGUUUAUUGGUCAUUAGCAAUAAUUUUUAGUAUGUUUUUAUGAUUAAAUUAGUAAUAUCAAUAUAAUUUUUGUUUCUCAAGAACUUCCUGUCUGUUUAUUAAAAACAUUUCCACUUGUUGUUUAUAAGUGGUAGUACCUGCUCUAUGCUUUAAGUAAAUGGCCGCAGUAUCUUGACUGUGCGAAGGUAGCAUAAUUAAUUGCCUUAUAAUUGAAGGCUUGUUUGAAUGGUUUGACAAGGUAGUAUCUAACAUGAUUUAUUUAGGUGAAUUUAAUACUGGGGGCACAGAAUCCCCUUAAUUUAAUUAGACGGAAAGACCCCGGGAUCUUGAUAUUUUGUCUGGGGCAGAUUGUAGUGAUUCACUUACAAAUUAGACCCUAAUGGUGCAUUGGUGUAAGUUACCCCGGGGAUAACAGUGUAAUAGUUUAUUAGAGAUCUUAUCGAAUUAACUGUUUGCCACCUCGAUGUUGACUUAGGUUUAAACUUGGGCGCAGUAGUUCAAGUUAUUGGUCUGUUCGACCUUAGUAUAC